GAUGAUCCUUAUGAGUCCCUCCAGCUCAAGAUAUUCUAUGAUUCUGGUUCUGUAUAAGAUUGUUUUAAAGGUUAUGUGGCUAAAAUAUAAGAAGUCUGUGUGGGGUUUCUCACUGGCCUGUGAUUCAGCUGCAGUUGUCCCCCUCCCUUCAGCCCUUACUUCUACAACAAACAAAAACCUGCAAGGGGGGGACCCCUGAUGAAAAGCCGCCCGUGGAUUUUGAAUGGGUGUUGCUAAUGUGAAGAGUCUCUGGGGCCGGGCAAGGGCACGGCCAGUCUGCUGUCCUGUUACCAACCCACGGAUCAUCGAGCUGCUGAUGUACAUGCUGUUCAGCCUGAGAACGAGAGAGCAAGUCAGCUGCAGCAUCUUCAUACAGAGCAUCUCAUAGCUGCUUCACCCAGAAGAGAAAUAAUACAGAAACACCACUCCGGGAGAAGCUCUCACCAGUACAGGCAUCUCAGUGCGAGGAAGGAAUAUGAGCGCUGCCCUUGAGGAUUUGAUUUUCCAAAUCAUCAGGAAAUCACAUGCCAUUUUUUUUCCUUUCUCCAAUUUCAAUAUUCCUGAUUUCCCCAGGCUUUCCUCAAACCAUCUCCGUAAUGUACUGAGGCUGAUUCUAACCUCACACUGCUUUUAUAGCACUGUAACUCUGAUCUCACACUGGUUUUACACUGGUGCAGUUCCACUUAUUUAAACUGAGUGAAUUCCUGAUUUAUGUUCAUGUAAACGACGGCAGAAACAGGCCCGUGGUUUUCCCUGGAGCAGUGCCAGGGCGAGGAAGAAGAAGGUCAGAUCGCUUGCGAUGCAAAUGGUGUAGAAAACUGUCGUUAAAUUACACCUAGACCCUUAUUUUUAAAUACAUAUUUGCUUUCUCUUAUAAAACGUACUGUAUUGUCAAAGUUACAAAUGUACAGGAGGAGAUCAGCUAGGAGGGGAGGCCAGGACAGGCAGCUACUGCUCCAGCAUUGAUGGAGAGGGUGACUUACAGACCCCAUUACCCUCUACUUUUUUGGGGAAAAUUAGUCUGCACCCCCUCCUUACUCCAGGUUCUUUCACCCAUUUAUGCAGAAACUGCUUCUCUCAUCCCCAGGCCCAGUUCUGUCCAUUGAGAAUCUGGUGCUUUGGAUUAAAUUGAAAUAUGUGUGUCCUGUUUGCUUUCAAAUAUUAAAAUGUAAUCCUGGGGAAUGAAAUCCCUUAAGACAGUGGUGUGACAGGACAGCCUGCAGCAUGGCUCUGCCCCUUCAGCAGCAUUUUGAGCAAGGAGGGCCCUUAACAGAGCUGGAGAUGAGAGCACAGGUGGGUUCCUUUGCAAAGACCCACUAAUAUAACUCUAAUUAAUUUAUUUUUUAAGGCUAUGCACAAAGGAUCUGAUCAACACUUUGCCCUGUGGUCUGGUUUGUUUGGAGUAUAUAUAAUUUCCUUGAUUUAUUCUCUGUGAUGUGAAAGGAUUUAACCACCAUCUUGAUACCUGCCUCUGAGGCUGCUCCCGUCCCUUGACACAAGCAGGUGCAGCAUAUUCUGAAUCAACUCCUGAGCUCUCUAUGCAACACCUGAUCCCAAUUAGGCAGCUGCCUUUAAAAGCAGCUCCCCUGGCCGUGAGUUAGUGAUGCUGGAUUGAAACCAUCAAUGUUGGGUGGGAUCUGUGCUCCUGAACCCCCUGCAGACCUUUCUGGGUGAAACCAGGACUGACCAUGUCUGAGAGCUCUUCACCCAGGCAAGUCUCAUCCUUCCUUGGUUCUACUAAUGGAGGAAAACUGGGGUUGUUGUAAUUAAUGACUGUGGCAGCCACUGUUUUAAUGUGGAUUGUUUUCCCCUCUCAUUUGCUCUUAGAAAAUGUUGGGACAGAGAUGGGGGAGAUGACUGCAGGCUGGCAGCCAGGUGGGAAGGGGACCUUUGCAUCUUUGGUGGGAAUGGAAGGAUGUGGUCUUUGCUCAGACAUGGGGCUGGUUUUGUCAUCUCUCAGCUCACACCAACCCCUCUGCUGUGCCCUAAGGAGCCUUUUGCUGCAGUGCAAAGCCACUGGCCUUUUGUGGAGGUGUGUGAUGGCCGAAUAGCAAAUAACUUAGGGUCAGUAGCGUCACCCACAGCUCUCCUGGCUUUUCUGAGCUCUUGUUCAGGUAGGCCCUUGCUGGUGCACAUAGAAGGUCAAAGAUGUGUUUAUCUCCUGCUGCGAAUCGGUGCAGGGAAGGGAGCGAUGCUGCAGCCCUCCAAGAGACCCUGGCUGGGACAGGCGUUGGGCACAGAAGACCAGUGCAGGAAAGAGGAUUCAGGUUCCCCACCUCCCACUUCUGAGUGCCAGAGCCCUCCUUGGGAAUCCCAGCGAGCAUAAAUCAGUGUAGCUGUAUUGUUUCUAUAGGGCUGUGCUGCUUUAUGAUGGCUGAGGACCUUUUGCCAUUGCCCAGCUCCUGGAUAAACAUCCCACCUUCACACCCAGUGGGGCACCAGCUUCUCCUCUGAGCCGGAGGAAUCACCAGCAGCACAACCUUCCCAUCACAUGUAUCCUCCCAGCAGCAUCACUGACAGCCCUGGGGCUCUGCAAGGACCCCCCAGCUCCCAGACAGCCCCAGGGGGGUGAGAUGCCACCACCUGACAUCGGCAGAGCAAAAUAUGGCCCUGGCAGUAGUCUGAUAGAAUGUGAUGGUAAUUUGGGGAGGGGGGAAGCAGAGGAGGAGGCGUUGAAAAAAGGAGGUAUUGAAAGUACACUUCCUUUCAGUGCAUUGCUGGAAAGACCAUUAGGAAAACCACUAGAUUAUUUUUCACAUUCUUCAGUGCAAAACUACUGCAUUUUAUGACCACUAUCAAUAACAGCUAUCAUAUUACUAAUGCUACAGUUGCCACAUAUAUAAUAUUUAAAUCACAUUUGCGGCUGACAGAGACCUAUGGAUAUUCUCGAUCCCAACAGGCUAUUACAGUUCAUAUCAUGUCUGUCAUAUAAAUAUUAUGAAUCAUUUCCCGCUAUCUUUAUGGGGGCUACAUUGACAUCGUCAAAAAGGCUCUGGGUACUGCCGGAUACUGCAUAUUUAUAUACACCUUAUGUAUAUGUAUGUGAAUGGAGGGAGAUUUAUACAACAAUCAUCAGUAAUAAAUGCCUAUGAUAAAGCAUA